ACUCCUACGGGAGGCAGCAGUGGGGAAUAUUGCACAAUGGGCGCAAGCCCUGAUGCAGCCAUGCCGCGUGUAUGAAGAAGGGCCUUCGGGUUGUAAAGUACUUUCAGCAGUGAGGAAGGCGGGUACGUUAAUAGCGUGCUCGUUUGACGUUAGCUGCAGAAGAAGCACCGGCUAACUCCGUGCCAGCAGCCGCGGUAAUACGGAGGGUGCGAGCGUUAAUCGGAAUUACUGGGCGUAAAGCGCAUGCAGGUGGUUUGUUAAGUCAGAUGUGAAAGCCCGGGGCUCAACCUCGGAAUUGCAUUUGAAACUGGCAGACUAGAGUACUGUAGAGGGGGGUAGAAUUUCAGGUGUAGCGGUGAAAUGCGUAGAGAUCUGAAGGAAUACCGGUGGCGAAGGCGGCCCCCUGGACAGAUACUGACACUCAGAUGCGAAAAGCGUGGGGAGCAAACAGGAUUAGAUACCCUGGUAGGAUAGCG
rnacentral:rRNA from 1 species